rnacentral:rRNA from 1 species
UAGGGAAUCUUCGGCAAUGGGGGGAACCCUGACCGAGCAACGCCGCGUGAGUGAAGAAGGUUUUCGGAUCGUAAAGCUCUGUUGUUAAGGAAGAACGAGUGUGAGAAUGGAAGGUUCAUGCUGUGACGGUACUUAACCAGAAAGGGACGGCUAACUACGUGCCAGCAGCCGCGGUAAUACGUAGGUCCCGAGCGUUGUCCGGAUUUAUUGGGCGUAAAGCGAGCGCAGGCGGUUAGAAAAGUCUGAAGUGAAAGGCAGUGGCUCAACCAUUGUAGGCUUUGGAAACUGUUUAACUUGAGUGCAGAAGGGGAGAGUGGAAUUCCAUGUGUAGCGGUGAAAUGCGUAGAUAUAUGGAGGAACACCGGUGGCGAAAGCGGCUCUCUGGUCUGUAACUGACGCUGAGGCUCGAAAGCGUGGGGAGCGAACAGG